rnacentral:rRNA from 1 species
GACGAACGCUGGCGGCGUGCUUAACACAUGCAAGUCGAACGGAAAGGCCCUGCUUUUGUGGGGUGCUCGUGUGGCGAACGGGUGAGUAACACGUGAGUAACCUGCCCUUGACUUUGGGAUAACUUCAGGAAACUGGGGCUAUUACCGGAUAGGAGCUCUUGCUGCAUGGUGGGGGUUGGAAAGUUUCGGUGGUUGGGGAUGGACUCGCGGCUUAUCAGCUUGUUGGUGGGGUAGUGGCAUACAAAGGCUUUGACGGGUAGCCGGCCUGAGAGGGGGACCGGCCACAUUAGGACUGAGAUACGGCCCAGACUCCAACGGUAGGCAGCGGUGGAGAAUAUUGCACAGUGGGCGGAAGCCUGAUGCGGCAACGCCGCGUGCGGGAUGACGGCCUUCGGGUUGUAAACCGCUUUCGCCUGUGACGAAGCGUGAGUGACGGUAAUGGGUAAAGAAGCACCGGCUAACUACGUG